ACACCCUCAAGCUCUGCUUGGUGUUGGGCGUCUGUCCCGCCUUUGCGCGUGGACUCGCCCCAAAUCCAUUGGCAGCGGUCUCCGCCUCCUCUCGCGCAGUACAAUGCGUUUCUCGAGGUGCUGCGGCCCGCGUCCAGUAAGCAAUUUACCGU
rnacentral:misc_RNA from 1 species